GAUGCAGAACGUAGCGAAAUGCGAUAAGUAAUGUGAAUUGCAGAAUUCAGUGAAUCAUCGAAUCUUUGAACGCACAUUGCGCCCGCUAGUAUUCUGGCGGGCAUGCCUGUCCGAGCGUCAUUUCAACCCUCAAGCCCCCGGGCUUGGUGUUGGGGAUCGGCGAGCCUCCGCGCCCGCCGUCCCCUAAAUCUAGUGGCGGUCUCGCUGUAGCUUCCUCUGCGUAGUAGCACACCUCGCACUGGGAAACAGCGCGGCCACGCCGUUAAACCCCCAACUUCUGAACGUUUGACCUCGGAUCAGGUAGGAAUACCCGCUGAACUUAAGCAUAUCAAUAAGCGGAGGA
rnacentral:misc_RNA from 1 species